CCUUCGGGUGUGUAUAAAGUGGCGAACGGCUGAGUAACACGUGGGCAACCUGCCCCUCUCAUUGGGAUAGCCACGGGAAACCGUGGAUAAUACCGAAUACUUCGAGACUUCCGCAUGGAAGACUCGAGAAAGCUCCGGCGGAGAGGGAUGGGCCCGCGGCCUGUUAGCUUGUUGGUGGGGUAACGGCCUACCAAGGCAAUGAUGGGUAGCUGGGUUGAGAGACCGACCAGCCAGAUUGGGACUGAGACACGGCCCAGACUCCUACGGGAGGCAGCAGUGGGGAAUCUUGCACAAUGGGCGAAAGCCUGAUGCAGCGACGCCGCGUGCGGGAUGAAGGCCUUCGGGUUGUAAACCGCUUUCAGCAGGGACGAGGCGAAAGUGACGGUACCUGCAGAAGAAGCCCCGGCUAACUACGUGCCAGCAGCCGCGGUAAUACGUAGGGGGCAAGCGUUAUCCGGAUUCAUUGGGCGUAAAGCGCUCGUAGGCGGUCUGUUAGGUCGGGAGUUAAAUCCGGGGGCUCAACCCCCGUUCGCUCCCGAUACCGGCAGACUUGAGUUUGGUAGGGGAAGGUGGAAUUCCUAGUGUAGCGGUGGAAUGCGCAGAUAUUAGGAAGAACGCCAGUGGCGAAGGCGGCCUUCUGGGCCAUAACUGACGCUGAGGAGCGAAAGCUAGGGGAGCAAACAGGAUUAGAUACCCUGGUAGUCCUAGCCGUAAACGAUGGACACUAGGUGUGGGGGAAUAUUUCUUCCGUGCCG
rnacentral:rRNA from 1 species